rnacentral:rRNA from 1 species
CCUACGGGUUGCAGCAGUGGGGAAUAUUGCACAAUGGGCGCGAGCCUGAUGCAGCCAUGCCGCGUGUAUGAAGAAGGCCUUCGGGUUGUAAAGUACUUUCAGCGAGGAGGAAGGCGAUAAGGUUAAUAACCUUGUCGAUUGACGUUACCCGCAGAAGAAGCACCGGCUAACUCCGUGCCAGCAGCCGCGGUAAUACGGGGGGUGCAAGCGUUAAUCGGAAUUACUGGGCGUAAAGCGCACGCAGGCGGUCUGUCAAGUCGGAUGUGAAAUCCCCGGGCUCAGCCUGGGAACUGCAUUCGAAACUGGCAGGCUAGAGUCUUGUAGAGGGGGGUAGAAUUCCAGGUGUAGCGAUGAAAUGCGUAGAGAUCUGGAGGAAUACCGGUGGCGAAGGCGGCCCCCUGGACAAAGACUGACGCUCAGGUGCGAAAGCGUGGGGAGCAAACAGGAUUAGAUACCCUGGUAGUC